CAUCUACGGAGAGUUUGAUCCUGGCUCAGGACGAACGCUGGCGGCGUGCUUAACACAUGCAAGUCGAACGAUGAAGCCAGCUUGCUGGUGGAUUAGUGGCGAACGGGUGAGUAACACGUGGGCAACCUGCCCCCGGCUCUGGGAUAACUCCAAGAAAUUGGUGCUAAUAC
rnacentral:rRNA from 1 species